rnacentral:rRNA from 1 species
GACGAACGCUGGCGGCGUGCUUAACACAUGCAAGUCGAGCGAUGAAGUUCCUUCGGGAAUGGAUUAGCGGCGGACGGGUGAGUAACACGUGGGUAACCUGCCUCAUAGAGGGGAAUAGCCUUCCGAAAGGAAGAUUAAUACCGCAUAAGAUUGUAGUGCCGCAUGGCAUAGCAAUUAAAGGAGUAAUCCGCUAUGAGAUGGACCCGCGUCGCAUUAGCUAGUUGGUGAGGUAACGGCUCACCAAGGCGACGAUGCGUAGCCGACCUGAGAGGGUGAUCGGCCACAUUGGGACUGAGACACGGCCCAGACUCCUACGGGAGGCAGCAGUGGGGAAUAUUGCACAAUGGGGGAAACCCUGAUGCAGCAACGCCGCGUGAGUGAUGAAGGUCUUCGGAUUGUAAAGCUCUGUCUUCAGGGACGAUAAUGACGGUACCUGAGGAGGAAGCCACGGCUAACUACGUGCCAGCCGCCGCCGUAA